AAAAAAAACAGUCCAGAGUUUCUCCUUUUUCAAAAGGCUUUUCAAAGAAAAUUCUUUUUUUUUUCAUGCUUGGAAUCAUUGGAAGUCCUUCAAAAUCUCAUGGAACAUAUCUAGAUCAACCAAAGUACAAGAUAAAUUAAUGUUUAUUUUUUGUUAGUUUAUCAACAACAAAAUCCAAAUCUAGCAAAUAAUUAAAAGAUCGAUUUUGAGUGGCUACUCCUGAAGCACAGUCAUGUAAUCCAUUCCCCAACCAGACAUCAAAAGAUCUCAAUUUGGGUGAAGAGAACCGCAAAUUAUAACCAAUUUCUAGUAAUGAAACCAAGAAAACAUUGUAAUAGCUUUUCUGUUUACUGGUAGAUUGGCAGAUCAUUUGCACCUAAGAUAGUUACAGACUAACAAGGAUUGGCAGUAUAUGAAGGAAGUACAAAUCAGAGCCAUAAUUACUGGAAAGUUGCAGAAAAAAAAAAAGGGUACAGCUUAAUUCAGCAGUGAUGUUUUAAUCUUUGUAUGACAAACCUCCUCUGCGACAAUUCAAACAGGAAAUAUAUGAAGCAAACCUAUUUUAUCUUAAGGGCCUGGAACCAGUGAAAUUUGUUGGAUAGCUUCAAUUUACUUGCUCGUAUCUUUUGCAAUAGCUAGCCAAUUUUUUGUAUCCUAUUUGUUUUUGAAAAUUCGGGGUUAUUCUCAGUCUCCAAAG
rnacentral:misc_RNA from 1 species